AGCUUAUUUCCCAAACCUUACCCAUUACCUGCAAGGAGGGCUGAGUGCAUUUCUUCCUUGAACUUAGAAGUGAUCCCUUGGACCUUUGAGGGGAGGCCCUUUCAAGGAAGACUUUGAUCCAGCGUAAGGGGAGGUGAUUCAACGGGUGCAUAGAAAUCGCCACAAAGACAGCAGUUUUUAUAGUAGUAUUUUUGGAAAAGAAAGGUUUCAUACAGUAUGGGAAGCGCCCAGCCCAUCUGGACCUCUCCCUCCCCCGAGACCCACCUGUGAACCAGGCGUUGAGGACAGUGCCAUGCCCUCCCGAGAAGCCCCGGCUGUGCCCGUGGUCCAGCUGGGGACAUCAACAAGUAAAGGGUCAACUGCAAACCCACAGGCUCUGGCAGCCACACCCCUCGCGGGGAUAAGGGCAUAUUUGGACCGUGUGCAUCCCAGCAGGGCCGGGACCUGACAUUGCACCGCCCCACCUCACCCCCACCGCUGGAAGCUGUCUCCACAAACACUCGGCCCAUGAGGACAGACACCUCCAGGCAAGAGGCAAAUGAUCACCCAAGAAGGCAGGCCUCCACUGGUCUCGUCAGUCCGCCUGGAAGGAGGAAGGGGAAGAGGAGCUCCAGCCGGGCAUCUGUCCGCAUGGCUGGUCACUCCUGUGCCCGGACCCUGACAGUGCUUCUAUCUGCCCCGUGGACAAGGCCAGGGUCUUAAGUGUCAGCCCUAGAGGCCCUGCUGCUCCCUGCAGCCUGUGCUCUGACUGGGCCUUCUGACCAGGCACGCACAGCUGCCCGUCUCUCUUCCAGCCCCAGCUCCCUGUCUACGCUGCCGUCCACACCACCCACCCCUCCCGAUCCCCUCGCCCUGAACUAUUUUUGUUUCCUAUCACAUUUACCACCUCCUAACAUGGCAUGUAAUUUA